UGCUGGAAUGAAUGGUUGGACGAGGUAUAAGCUGUUUCAAUUUUAAUUUUUAUAGAAUUUUAUUUUUUAGUAAAAAAGCUAAAAUUUAUUUAAAAGACGAGAAGACCCUAUAAAUCUUUAUAAUUUAUUUAUUUUUAUUAUAAAGAUGUUUUUUAUAUUAAUAAUUUUUAUUAUUUUAUUGGGGUGAUAUUAAAAUUUAUUAAACUUUUAAUUUUUUUUGACAUUAAUUAAUGGAAUUUUGAUCCGUUUAUAACGAUUAUAAGAUUAAGUUACUUUAGGGAUAACAGCGUAAUUUUUUUUGGAGAGUUCAUAUCGAUAAAAAAGAUUGCGACCUCGAUGUUGGAUUAAGAUAUAAGUUUGGGUGCAGCUAUUCAAGUUUUAAGUCUGUUCGACUUGUAAAUUCUUACAUGAUCUGAGUUCAAACCGGCGUGAGCCAGGUUGGUUUCUAUCUUUAAAUUUAUAAAAUAUUUUAGUACGAAAGGAUUGAAUAUUUGAAUAAAUUUAUUUUAUUUAUUGAAUAUUAUUAAUUUAACUAUUUU
rnacentral:rRNA from 1 species